UACGGGGGGGGGCAAGCGUUGUUCGGAAUUACUGGGCGUAAAGGGCCAGUAGGCGGCCAACUAAGUCCGACGUGAAAUCCCAAGGCUUAACCUUGGAACUGCGUCGGAUACUGGAUGGCUUGAAUUCGGGAGAGGGAUGCAGAAUUCCAGGUGUAGCGGUGAAAUGCGUAGAUAUCUGGAGGAAUACCGGUGGCGAAGGCGGCAUCCUGGACCAAUAUUGACGCUGAGGAGCGAAAGCUAGGGGAGCAAACGGG
rnacentral:rRNA from 1 species